rnacentral:rRNA from 1 species
UACGGGGGGAGCAAGCGUUGUUCGGAUUUACUGGGCGUAAAGGGCGCGUAGGCGGCGCAACAAGUCACUUGUGAAAUCUCCGGGCUUAACCCGGAGCGGUCAAGUGAUACUGUCGUGCUAGAGUGCGGAAGGGGCUACUGGAAUUCUCGGUGUAGCGGUGAAAUGCGUAGAUAUCGAGAGGAACACCCAGUGGCGAAGGCGAG